rnacentral:rRNA from 1 species
GACGAACGCUGGCGGCGUGCCUAAUACAUGCAAGUAGAACGCUGAAGGAGGAGCUUGCUUCUCCGGAUGAGUUGCGAACGGGUGAGUAACGCGUAGGUAACCUGCCUGGUAGCGGGGGAUAACUAUUGGAAACGAUAGCUAAUACCGCAUAACAGUAGAUAUUGCAUGAUAUCUGCUUGAAAGGUGCAAUUGCAUCACUACCAGAUGGACCUGCGUUGUAUUAGCUAGUUGGUGAGGUAACGGCUCACCAAGGCGACGAUACAUAGCCGACCUGAGAGGGGGAUCGGCCACACUGGGACUGAGACACGGCCCAGACUCCUACGGGAGGCAGCAGUAGGGAAUCUUCGGCAAUGGACGGAAGUCUGACCGAGCAACGCCGCGUGAGUGAAGAAGGUUUUCGGAUCGUAAAGCUCUGUUGUAAGAGAAGAACGAGUGUGAGAGUGGAAAGUUCACACUGUGACGGUAUCUUACCAGAAAGGGACGGCUAACUACGUG